CCUAUAGGGACAUAUCAUGAGACAUGUACUGUUUUUAAUUAGCUUGUAAAUAGUUCAAGCUCAUUGGAUCUAUAUGGUAGUGACUGUUAACAGUUGAUUCUCAGAACUCGAUGCUUCAACACUGAAGAUUCUACUUAUGCAAAAUUCUAACAGGGAAUGUUUAACUUGGUAAACAGGAGAUCGAAGAAACCCAUUCACAAAACUCCUGGGACAGAACUCAUAUACCCAACUCUAUUCUGUGAUUUAAUUAUCUAAAGACUCCCAAAAAAACAUAUGUUUUGCUGACUACUUUUUAAAAAAAAAAAUUUUACAUCCUUUUCUGCCAAAAUCAUUUCAUAAGACAUCACAAAACUUUUGGAAUAAUAAUUACAUGAAUGAAGAAUCCUAAUUUGAAUAUACCAAGAGGUUUUGAAAGGUUUUAACUUUUUGAUAGGUGUGUAUGUGAGAAGGUACAGACAUCGUGAUAGUAAUCUGAUUAUGUAUAAUUUCAACUUGUAGUAUACCGCAUGUAGGCUUAUAUUUUAGUUAAACUAAAAACUUUUAUUGUAAAAAUGAUUAUAAAUAUAUGAUAUUAUUUUAUUUGAUUUUAAAUGUACAGUAAACUUCGAGUUGUAUAUGUUUUGUUGAUAUUAUUUAUAUUGUUUAGUGUUUAAAAUUAUACACUUGUAUUUUGAUUGUUAAUUUUAGAGUUUUACCUGUAGUAUACCAUCUUGUAUUAAUAUCGAUUUAAACCCGUCAAUUCUAGGAUUUUUCAGCUUGUAUUAAAAAUUGAAUCACAUCAUACACAUAAAAAAAACUAAUAUGUUAUUAAUUAUUGUAGUAUAUAAGAUUAUAAAAUUUUAAAAUAAAAUGUAUGAAAUUGAAUAUAAAUAUUCAAAUUGUGACUCAGUACUCAGUAUAAAAUUUUCUUAAAUCUAUUUUUGACCCGUUAUAAUAUUUUUUCAUUUAUUGAACAGUUUAUAUUCGUUUUUAAAAAUUCAAAUUAUAGCAUAUGCGAAAAACUCUAAUUAUUGUUUUAUAACGAUGAUAUUAUUUUUUCGCAAAAAUAGAAUCAUAUAAAGAUGAGAGGUGUACUAUAAUAAUUAAUAAAAAAUUAAUAUGAUAAUUUG
rnacentral:sRNA from 1 species